rnacentral:sRNA from 1 species
UAACGGCUUUAAUUCAGAGCAUAAUUGC